rnacentral:lncRNA from 1 species
CCUCUACAGGUGCCUAACACAGAAAAGGACUAGAACUCCAGAUAUUUCCCACUUUCAAAAAAUUGGCCUCCUAAAGGAUGUCACCAGCAACUGGAAUGGGGAGGAAACGAGACUAAGAAAGUACCCGAGUCAGAAAGAAGGGGAAGCCCCAUUGGAAGUGUGGGCCCUAAGGACAUGGAAGCUGGCUUUUUGUUUUUUAAGGUCUCAGAGUGAGAAACAAGAUGCUCCAUGUUUAUCUGUGCAGUUAAUCAGGAAGAAUUCAUGGGACACCACGGACGGAGGCUCCUCUGGAAUAUGGAACUGGGCUCUCAGGCUUCCUUUGCACUGCGUGCUCUCUUGUUCCACUUGAACGUCUGGUUCUAAAUUUGUUUCAUUUUCACCAUAAAAUGAGGGGGAAUCAUUGUGAUGAGCAGCGAGCCAUGGUGUGUCUCCCCCAAGACCUUGCUUGAGCAGAUUAGAAGGUGCCUUCAAAAGCCGCUUCUCUCUGCACCCACUCAUUCAUUCAGGACAUAGGUGAUAAGUGUUUCCUACAUGCCAGGCACAGUUCUGAAAGCUGAGGAUACAGCAGUGAACAAACAGAUGAAAAUCCCUGCCCUCCUGGGGGCUUAGAUUCUACCGAGUAUAGAAAGACAUAGAACAAAAUUAAUUUAUUAAGCGUCCCCUCGUGCCCAGCGGCUUAAGGAUCUGGCAUUGUCACUGCAGCAGCGUGGGUACUUGCUGUGGCUUGGGUUGGAUCCCUGGCCCGGGAACUUGUGCAUUUCAGGAGCACAGCCAACAAAAUAAUAAUAAUAAACAAUUUGGUACAGGGGAGGAGAAAGGACA